rnacentral:rRNA from 1 species
UCGAACGAAACUUCUUUAUCACCGAGUGCUUGCACUCACCGAUAAAGAGUUGAGUGGCGAACGGGUGAGUAACACGUGGGCAACCUGCCCAAAAGAGGGGGAUAACACUUGGAAACAGGUGCUAAUACCGCAUAACCAUAGUUACCGCAUGGUAACUAUGUAAAAGGUGGCUAUGCUACCGCUUUUGGAUGGGCCCGCGGCGCAUUAGCUAGUUGGUGGGGUAAAGGCUUACCAAGGCAAUGAUGCGUAGCCGAACUGAGAGGUUGAUCGGCCACAUUGGGACUGAGACACGGCCCAAACUCCUACGGGAGGCAGCAGUAGGGAAUCUUCCACAAUGGGCGAAAGCCUGAUGGAGCAACGCCGCGUGGGUGAAGAAGGUCUUCGGAUCGUAAAACCCUGUUGUUAGAGAAGAAAGUGCGUGAGAGUAACUGUUCACGUUUCGACGGUAUCUAACCAGAAAGCCACGGCUAACUACGUGCCAGCAGCCGCGGUAAUACGUAGGUGGCAAGCGUUAUCCGGAUUUAUUGGGCGUAAAGGGAACGCAGGCGGUCUUUUAAGUCUGAUGUGAAAGCCUUCGGCUUAACCGGAGUAGUGCAUUGGAAACUGGGAGACUUGAGUGCAGAAGAGGAGAGUGGAACUCCAUGUGUAGCGGUGAAAUGCGUAGAUAUAUGGAAGAACACCAGUGGCGAAAGCGGCUCUCUGGU